rnacentral:rRNA from 1 species
UACGGGGGGGGCAAGCGUUGUUCGGAAUUACUGGGCGUAAAGCGCACGUAGGCGGAUGUGUCAGUCAGGGGUGAAAUCCCGGAGCUCAACUUCGGAACUGCCCUUGAUACAGCACGUCUUGAGUCCGGAAGAGGUGGGUGGAAUUCCUAGUGUAGAGGUGAAAUUCGUAGAUAUUAGGAAGAACACCGGUGGCGAAGGCGGCCCACUGGUCCGGUACUGACGCUGAGGUGCGAAAGCGUGGGGAGCAAACAGG